AUUCACUAGUGAUUGGCGUCUGACUAGAACCGAUCCCACGGUGAGGGACGAAGCCCUGGGGCGCAAACGGGAUUAGAUACCCCGGUAGUCCAGGGUGUAAACGCUGCGGGCUUGGUGUUGGGGGUCCUUCGUGGGCGCUCAGUGCCGGAGAGAAGUUGUUAAGCCUGCUGCUUGGGGAGUAUGUCCGCAAGGAUGAAACUUAAAGGAAUUGGCGGGGGAGCACCGCAACGGGAGGAGCGUGCGGUUUAAUUGGAUUCAACGCCGAAAAACUCACCAGGAGCGACGGAUAUAUGAAGGUCAAGCUGAUGACUUUACCUGAUUUUCCGAGAGGUGGUGCAUGGCCGUCGUCAGUUCGUACCGUAAGGCGUUCUCUUAAGUGAGAUAACGAACGAGACCCUCACCUUUAAUUGCUAGUCCCUUCUCCGGAGGGGGCGCACAUUAAAGGGACCGCUGACGCUAAGUCAGAGGAAGGUGAGGUCAACGGUAGGUCCGUAUGCCCCGAAUCUCCUGGGCAACACGCGCGCUACAAAGGACGGGACAAUGGGCUUCCACACCGAAAGGUGGAGACAAUCCCGAAACCCGUCCAUAGUUCGGAUUGUGGGCUGUAACUCGCCCACAUGAAGCUGGAUUCCGUAGUAAUCGCUUGUCAACAUCAAGCGGUGAAUAUGCCCCUGCUCCUUGCACACACCGCCCGUCAAACCACCCGAGUUGGGUUUCAGUAAGGAUAUCUCUCAUUGGGGUUUUCGAACUGAGAUUCAGCAAGGAGGGUUAAGUCGUAACAAGGUAACCGUA
rnacentral:rRNA from 1 species